GAUGAACGCUGGCGGCGUGCCUAAUACAUGCAAGUCGAGCGAACGGACGAGAAGCUUGCUUCUCUGAUGUUAGCGGCGGACGGGUGAGUAACACGUGGAUAACCUACCUAUAAGACUGGGAUAACUUCGGGGAACCGGAGCUAAUACCGGAUAAUAUUUUGAACCGCAUGGUUCAAAAGUGAAAGACGGUCUUGCUGUCACUUAUAGAUGGAUCCGCGCUGCAUUAGCUAGUUGGUAAGGUAACGGCUUACCAAGGCAACGAUGCAUAGCCGACCUGAGAGGGUGAUCGGCCACACUGGAACUGAGACACGGUCCAGACUCCUACGGGAGGCAGCAGUAGGGAAUCUUCCGUAAUGGGCGAAAGCCUGACGGAGCAACGCCGCGUGAGUGAUGAAGGUCUUCGGAUCGUAAAACUCUGUUAUUAGGGAAGAACAUAUGUGUAAGUAACUGUGCACAUCUUGACGGUACCUAAUCAGAAAGCCACGGCUAACUACGUG
rnacentral:rRNA from 1 species